rnacentral:lncRNA from 1 species
AUGAAUCAAUUUAAGGAAAAAUGAGCGGCUGUAUGGAAAACAAGAUUCAAAUUUUGAAUCUCCAUUACUUUCAAAACUUUUAAAAUACAAUUUACCAUUCAUAAACCUUUCAUUCCCCAAUCUCUUCUUUUCCCCCUUUAGACACACACCUAUACACACACAACAGAAAAAUAGAGAGAACUGCUGAUGGUGAACAGUGAGUCCAGCUCUAGGGUUUAGUGUUAAACAAACGCCCGGUCUGGUAACGAACAACUGAACGAUGCCCGAUUUGGGUCGAAACCAGCUAAAUCUCGUGAUGGCGGUGACAGGGGAGUUCUAGGGUUUCGACGGCUAAAUGAGAUUAGGGUUCAGGUGGAGGCGGUGGAAAGAACCCAGGUUGCAUACAACGAAAAUGGAGAUGGAAUCGUUUUAUGGCCGUCUCAGACCAGAUCUACGACGUGUCAGCUACUAGAUUCAGAUUCUACACUUACUAGACGGCUCAAGUUCCUAAAUGGCUGAUGAAAAGUUGUCAAACAAGAGAAAGAGUCUGCUCAACCUCUGAAGACCUAAAAGAGUUCCUAAAAUGGUAACUUUGUUUGACCAAAUGGGUCAACAACCUAUUCUCUAAUGGGUUGGUCUUUAAAAGUUAAGCUAAAAUCCAAAAUAAGGCCUUUCUUGUAUGAGUCGAAUGUAGCCCAAAAGCUAUUUCGGAAUGUAUAAAACCUCCUAAACCAUUUGAUUAAAGAAAUUAUUAUAUUAUUGUAAUUAUAUAAAUUUGUAUCCGAACGUCAACAAAGUACAUAUAUUUUAUAGCACCAAGUGAGAAAUG